UACGUAGGGUGCAAGCGUUGUCCGGAAUUAUUGGGCGUAAAGAGCUCGUAGGCGGUCUGUCGCGUCUGCUGUGAAAACUCAGGGCUUAACCCUGAGCUUGCAGUGGGUACGGGCAGGCUAGAGUUCGGUAGGGGAGACUGGAAUUCCUGGUGUAGCGGUGAAAUGCGCAGAUAUCAGGAGGAACACCGAUGGCGAAGGCAGGUCUCUGGGCAUUAACUGACGCUGAGGAGCGAAAGCAUGGGGAGCGAACAGG
rnacentral:rRNA from 1 species